rnacentral:rRNA from 1 species
GAGUUUGAUCUUGGCUCAGAGCGAACGCUGGCGGCAUGCUUAACACAUGCAAGUCGCACGGUCAGCAAUGGCAGUGGCGGACGGGGUGAGUAACACGUAGGAAUCUAUCUCUGGGUGGGGGACAACAGUGGGAAACUACUGCUAAUACCGCAUGAUACCUGAGGGUCAAAGGCGUAAGUCGCCUGGAGAGGAGCCUGCGUCUGAUUAGCUUGUUGGUGGGGUGAAGGCCUACCAAGGCUACGAUCAGUAGCUGGUCUGAGAGGGAUGAUCAGCCACAUUGGGACUGAGACACGGCCCAAACUCCUACGGGAGGCAGCAGGUGGGGAAUAGUUGGACAAUGGGCGAAAGCCUGAUCCAGCAAUGCCGCGUGUGUGAAGAAGGUCUUCGGAUUGUAAAGCACUUUUGGCAGGGACGAUGAUGACGGUACCUGCAGAAUAAGCCCGGCUAACUUCGUGCCAGCCGCCGCCGU